rnacentral:rRNA from 1 species
ACUCCGUACGGGAGGCAGCAGGUAGGGAAUCUUCCACAAUGGGCGCAAGCCUGAUGGAGCAACACCGCGUGAGUGAAGAAGGGUUUCGGCUCGUAAAGCUCUGUUGUUAAAGAAGAACACGUAUGAGAGUAACUGUUCAUACGUUGACGGUAUUUAACCAGAAAGUCACGGCUAACUACGUGCCAGCAGCCGCGGUAAUACGGUAGGUGGCAAGCGUUAUCCGGAUUUAUUGGGCGUAAAGAGAGUGCAGGCGGUUUUCUAAGUCUGAUGUGAAAGCCUUCGGGCUUAACCGGAGAAGUGCAUCGGAAACUGGAUAACUUGAGUGCAGAAGAGGGUAGUGGAACUCCAUGUGUAGCGGUGGAAUGCGUAGAUAUAUGGAAGAACACCAGUGGCGAACGGCGGCUACCUGGUCAGCAACUGACGCUGAGACUCGAAAGCAUGGGUAGCGAACAGGAUUAGAUACCCUGGUAGGAUAGCG